CUGAAACAGUAAGGGAAAAAAUGUGCAAAAGAUGUAUAUAGGGUUGCUGACAGAGCUUAGUGGUGAUUAAAUAACUUCCCGUUACAUAAGGAAUCAGAUCUGAAAGCUGCUGCUAAAUGACAUUAAACUCAGCAUUGCUGUCAGUUAUUAAUGAGGCUGUAUUAUAGAUGGAAUUGUCCAGGAAGUUACCAAACAAUAUUGUGCUGUCAUUUAUCUCAUCCUAAGGUUUCAUCACUUGUCCACACUGCCAAACCUACACUUGUUUAUGCAGUCCAGCUGCAGGGAGUCAGAAACCCACGUGGAUACGUCUGGCUUUGUAUGAGUCCAUUUCAGUUCACCUUACAAUUUCUGUGGUCUGAGGGAUGUUGAUGUUCUAUAAGAAGCACCCAAUACCAGAUCGCACAGAAUGCUGGGUUACUGCCAAGUGCUCUUGUUCUCCACGAUGCCAUUUGUCUUGUGGAUGCUGUAACUAACAGUACAUGUCGCCGAAGUGCUGUCUUUUCUUUUUCCUCUGUAAUUCUAACACAAGCCUUUAGCCAGCAUCAUGUUAUUUAUAGAUCCGAUUGUGCUGUUUGUGCUGCACCAACCUGGGAGGCUCUGCGGAUGCCAGACUGUGUCUGAUGAGUUAAUGUCUUUAUUAUUAAUUUUAAGUGUUUUUCUGCUACUAAGAAUUACUGAUGCCAUUAAUCUUUUCUUCCUAGAAGUGGAAAGCUAAAUAACCAUUUAGAAGCUGCUAUACAUGAGGCCAUGAGUGAACUAGAUAAAAUGUCUGGGAAUGUCCACCAAAUCCCGCAGGGAGACAGACAAGUGAAGCCUCCAAAACCCAAGAGGAGGAAGAUCUCUAGAUAACAUUGAAUGUCUUUGUUACUGGUCCAGUUCUUAUCAAAACGAACGUGCACAUAAGUCUGUAUGUAGGUAUUGAUAUAGACGUGGUUAUAUCAAUAUUUAUAUGAAGACGGCCGCCGCCGCGGGGUGCUACGUGGAGUGUGGUACAGUGUGUGGAUGAGCAGGAGGGAGAGAGGUUGCUGGAAAAGCCAAUCAGAAAUCUGGGAAGGUUACAGUAACCAUGUCAGAUGAUUACUGAGGGGUUUUUUUGUUUUGUUUUGUUUUUUUUUCUAUAAUACUAAAAUUGUGAUUAUAAGGAAUAGUCCAAAUGUUUCUGAGAAAUUUUCAUUGUGUAUAUAGAUAAUACAGAAUUUCAUGGUGAUAUCUGAAAUGUAAAUAUUGUACAAUAUUGUCAUGUACAAGCGUACCUAAUGCACACUUUAUCUUUUAUUGUACAAAAAAUAGUGUACAAAAUUCUUUGGUUUCUAUUGAGUACACAUACAAGAGACUACCAGUGUAAAGUGAUAAAUAAAAAUACAGCCUAAAUGCUUUUAUAUGAUAAUGUAAAA